rnacentral:rRNA from 1 species
UUCGCCCUUAGAGUUUUUUCCUGGCUCAGAGCGAACGCUGGCGGCAGGCUUAACACAUGCAAGUCGAGCGGGCGUAGCAAUACGUCAUUUUCAGACGGGUGAGUAACGCGUGGGAACGUACCUUUUGGUUCGGAACAACACAGGGAAACUUGUGCUAAUACCGGAUAAGCCCUUACGGGGAAAGAUUUAUCGCCGAAAGAUCGGCCUGCGUCUGAUUAGCUAGUUGGUGAGGUAACGGCUCACCAAGGCGACGAUCAGUAGCUGGUCUGAGAGGAUGAUCAGCCACAUUGGGACUGAGACACGGCCCAAACUCCUACGGGAGGCAGCAGUGGGGAAUAUUGGACAAUGGGGGCAACCCUGAUCCAGCCAUGCCGCGUGAGUGAUGAAGGCCCUAGGGUUGUAAAGCUCUUUUGUGCGGGAAGAUAAUGACGGUACCGCAAGAAUAAGCCCCGGCUAACUUCGUGCCAGCAGCCGCGGUAAUACGAAGGGGGCUAGCGUUGCUCGGAAUCACUGGGCGUAAAGGGUGCGUAGGCGGAUCUUUAAGUCAGAGGUGAAAGCCUGGAGCUCAACUCCAGAACUGCCUUUGAUACUGGGGAUCUUGAGUUCGGGAGAGGUGAGUGGAACUGCGAGUGUAGAGGUGAAAUUCGUAGAUAUUCGCAAGAACACCAGUGGCGAAGGCGGCUCACUGGCCCGAUACUGACGCUGAGGCACGAAAGCGUGGGGAGCAAACAGGAUUAGAUACCCUGGUAGUCCACGCCGUAAAC